UGGGUGCAGUUGUUGGUGGAGAGUAUUUAUUCUUGAAGCCAUCGAAUCGUCUGCUCUAAUUCUCCUAAUUAUCUCUUUCAAUUUUAUUGCUGACAAAAGAGCAAACAAACAUGACAAGAUCGUGUAAUAAUUUAUAUGCUAAUUAUUUAAUAGUUUUUUUGUAAAAUGAAGCUGGGUCAAAAGGAAUGCAAGCUGUGUAGGUGAGAUAUCGGGGUUUUGCACAGUGCAAGAUCGUGGCUGGGGAGCGGCUGCCGCAUAAAUUAAUCAACUUCUCUCCACAUGAAUCC
rnacentral:lncRNA from 1 species